GGCAGAAGAGUGUUCUUUCUUUGCUAGAGAAGAACUACAAAACAUUGUGUGCUCUCAAUCUCCUUCAACAAGGUUUUGCAGAUAAUGUUGAUGGUGAUUUUGAUUAUUCAAGAUUUGGCAAUGAGGAGGAUCAAACCAUGGAAGUAGACGACGACGGAGAUGAGGAGGAGAUGGAUAUGGAUGAUGGUGAUGCUGAAGGUGGGGAAGGGGAGGCUUCUGAAUUUAAGGGUAAAG
rnacentral:misc_RNA from 1 species